UACGUAGGGUCCGAGCGUUGUCCGGAAUUACUGGGCGUAAAGAGCUCGUAGGUGGUUUGUCGCGUUGUUCGUGAAAACUCACAGCUUAACUGUGGGCGUGCGGGCGAUACGGGCAGACUAGAGUACUGCAGGGGAGACUGGAAUUCCUGGUGUAGCGGUGGAAUGCGCAGAUAUCAGGAGGAACACCGGUGGCGAAGGCGGGUCUCUGGGCAGUAACUGACGCUGAGGAGCGAAAGCGUGGGGAGCGAACAGG
rnacentral:rRNA from 1 species